GAUGGGGAGAGGAAAUUGUUUCCUCGAGUCGUUGAUUUCACACUGCCGAGAAAAGCCUCUAGAUAGAUAAUAGGUGCCCGUACCGCAAACCGACACAGGUAGUCAAGAUGAGAAUUCUAAGGUGAGCGAGCGAACUCUCGUUAAGGAACUCGGCAAAAUGACCCCGUAACUUCGGGAGAAGGGGUGCUCUUUAGGGUGCAAGCCCAGAAGAGCCGCAGUGAAUAGGCCCAAGCGACUGUUUAUCAAAAACACAGGUCUCUGCUAAACCGUAAGG
rnacentral:rRNA from 1 species